rnacentral:rRNA from 1 species
AACGCUAGCUACAGGCUUAACACAUGCAAGUCGAGGGGAACGACAUCGAAAGCUUGCUUUUGAUGGGCGUCGACCGGCGCACGGGUGAGUAACGCGUAUCCAACCUGCCCAUCACUUGGGAAUAACCUUGCGAAAGUAAGACUAAUGCCCAAUGAUAUCCCACGAAGGCAUCCGAAUGGGAUUAAAGAUUUAUCGGUGAUGGAUGGGGAUGCGUCUGAUUAGCUUGUUGGCGGGGUAACGGCCCACCAAGGCAACGAUCAGUAGGGGUUCUGAGAGGAAGGUCCCCCACAUUGGAACUGAGACACGGUCCAAACUCCUACGGGAGGCAGCAGUGAGGAAUAUUGGUCAAUGGGCGAGAGCCUGAACCAGCCAAGUAGCGUGCAGGAAGACGGCCCUAUGGGUUGCAAACUGCUUUUAUAAGGGAAUAAAGUGAGUCUCGUGAGACUUUUUGCAUGUACCUUAUGAAUAAGGACCGGCUAAUUCCGUGCCAGCAGCCGCGGUAAUACGGAAGGUCCGGGCGUUAUCCGGAUUUAUUGGGUUUAAAGGGAGCGUAGGCCGGAGAUUAAGCGUGUUGUGAAAUGUAGAGGCUCAACCUCUGCACUGCAGCGCGAACUGGUCUUCUUGAGUACGCACAACGUGGGCGGAAUUCGUGGUGUAGCGGUGAAAUGCUUAGAUAUCACGAAGAACUCCGAUUG